UAUUUGCUUUUCUUUUUUUAAAUUUAAAACUUAAGUUGAGUUUUUUAUUUUUUUUAUUGUAAAAUUUGAGCAGAAAGUGAAAAACACGUGAUUUUCUAUAAAGCCAUUUCUCGCGCAUUAAGCCUAUGUAUUUUACAUUAUAUGCCGCGGGUGAUAAGUACAUACAGUUUUUCCCUUUUUUUUACGGAAUUAGAACUUUGUAAAAUAAAAUAUAUACACACACAGCGCAAAGUCGCCCUCUAAUUUACCAGCGACAAGUGCAAUUAUUUUCCAUGAGUAAUUGCAUGACAAUGCGCUCUGGGUGAAUUUGAAUUUUCCAACCCAAUUGGACAGGCGCGUUUAAUCGGAAAAUCUCUAUAAUUAUAUCUACAUCGCGGAAUUUCGAGCAGGCAGACAAGCAGCCACCACCACCACCCCCCGCAAAUCGGCCGAUUGGUGGCAUUAUCUUUAUAGAAUGGAAUUUUCCUUAAUUUAAUUGACGUGUCGGCAAACUUUGGCUGAAAUGGUGUGCAAUUUUUACCGGUAUUUUAAAUGCAUAUGCGCGUGUGUGCUAUAUGUACAUUCCGGCGUGUUGAUUGUGUGUGUAGCCCCAUACCCAUACACUCAUGCAGAUCAAUACACGAACAUAACCUCCAAGCGGUCACUCGCAUAUGUACAUGUGUGUAUGCGGGUAUGUACGCGCAGAUGUACAGUGUACACACAGAGAUAUUCGGGUGUGAAUGCGCGAGUUCUGUAAACCCGUUUCCAAGCAUGAACUCACUAUUAAUUCCGCCGAUGAUUGGCCUGGGAAUAAAGUCAUUGCCCGCGAAGUAAACCAAGCCCACAUGUCUAGGAUUUUUCUUCCAAUAGGAUAUAUGUACGCAUAUGUAUAUGUGUACAGUGCGAGAAAAAGUCUGUACUUUACGCCAAAUCUCUACACUAAAAAUUUGUAAAUUUAUAGAGAAGCCGCAAUAGAAAAAGUAUUUACUAAUCUUGACUAAUUUACACAAUUGUCUCUCUUACUGCAUGAAUUGGAAAAUUGCUCAAAUUCCAGUGCACUGCAAGUUCCGUACAUCAUAUUUAUGUAUUUAUUCCAUUGGUAUAGUUAUGCACACAUUUAUGGGUGUAUGUGUAAGCAUACCAAAAACGUGCUAUUUUAUCAAAGGGCUAAAAAUGGCGCCGAAAAACGAGACAAAAACGCGGCGUCUGCGGCGUC